CGCUCGAAGGAGACAACUACAAAUUUGAGCAACACUAUAAAAAUUACACCCAAGAUGUGACGAAAGAACUAAUGGCUCAACUCUCUGAAGGGCAAGACGGAGCUGUGAUGAAGGUAGGCCACAAAGAAGGUCCCCCAACGGUACCGUAC